AAAAGGGCAAAAUACUCUUUCAUGCUCAAAUCGUAACUAAAAAAUGAAAAACCGAAAGAGAAGUUGAAAAUCUUUGCAUGGACCAAGCAACCACCUUCGCUAAAGCUCUACUCAACAAUACCAACAAUCCCAAAUUGGCAUGGCUUCUCUUCAAACGUACACUUUCCUCCCCCAUUUCUACUUCUUCCCAUCUCACUCUUCCCUCAGUACCCAUCCUCGCUCGUAUCCUUGUUGGCGCCAAAAUGGACCAAGAAAUCGACUCUCUUCAUCAUCUUCUUCUUCGAACGGAGCCCCCUGAAACUGCUCAUGCUUCUGUUGUUUCCUUGUUGAGAAUUUUGGCCAAGUUGGGUGUCCCUGACAAGGCUGUUUCUCAGUUCAAAUCACUUCGAUUGCGGUUUCCAGAUAAGCUUCCCUCUGCUUAUUUGUAUAAUUUGCUUCUCGAAUCUUCUGUUCGUGCUAGAAAUGUGGAUUUUGUGUUAUGGUUGUAUAAGGACAUGGUUGUUUCUGGGGUCGACCCGCAAACUUAUACUUUUAAUCUUUUGAUCAGUGCCUUGUGUGACUUUGGUCAUGUGGAUGAUGCACGGGAGAUGUUUGACAAAAUGCGUGACAAGGGUUGUUGUCCGAAUGAGUUUAGUGUUGGACUUUUGGUUCGUGGGUAUUGUAGAGCUGGGCUUAGUGACCAAGCCUUGGAGAUUCUGGAUAGGACAAAUGAUAUUUUACCUAAUAGGGUUGUGUAUAAUACUUUAAUAUCUAGUUUCUGUAAAGAAGGUAGGACUGAAGAAGCUGAGAAAUUAGUAGAGAGGAUGAGAGCUAGCAAUAUGUUUCCGGAUGUUGUUACUUUUAAUUCUAGGAUUUCGGCUCUUUGUGACUCUGGCAAAAUUCUUGAAGCUUCUAGGAUAUUUAGAGAUAUGCAAAUAGAUGAAGUGUUGGGUCUGCCCAAGCCAAAUAUCAUAACAUAUAAUUUAAUGUUAGAAGGAUUUUGCAAAGGGGGAAUGUUAGAAGAAGCGAAGUCCUUGUUUGAAUCUAUAAAGAGGAAAAGUGAUGUUAUGCAUUUGGAAAGCUACAACAUAUGGUUGUCGGCUCUGAUGAGGAGGGGGAAGUUGUUGGAAGCAAGAUUGCUUCUUAAAGAAAUGGUAGACCAAGGAAUAGAGUUGAGUGUAUGUACAUAUAACAUCAUGAUUGAUGGCUUAUGCAAGGGUGGAAUGAUCUCUGAUGCAAAAAUGGUGAUGGGAUUAAUGAUAAGCAGCGGUAUCUCCCCAGAUGCAGUAACCUAUACUACUUUACUCCAUGGGUACUGUAGGAGAGGGAAAGUUUUUGAAGCCAACAGAGUUCUGCAAGAUAUGAUGAUGAAUAAUUGUGCUCCGAAUACUCAUACUUGCAACAUUUUGCUGCACAGCCUGUGGAAGGAGGGGAGAACGUCAGAGGCGGAGAAAUUGCUGCAAAAGAUGAACGAGAGAGGUUAUGGUAUAGAUACGGUGACCUGCAAUAUUGUGAUAAAUGGUCUCUGUAAUAAUGGGAAAUUGGACAAAGCAAUUGAAAUUGUGAGUGGGAUGUGGACUCAUGGGAGGGCAGCUCUAGGCCACUUAGGGAAUUCUUUUAUUGGCCUGGUCGAUGAUAGUAAUAAUGGUAAAAACUGCAGGCCUGAUUUAAUUACGUAUUCAAUCAUAAUAAGUGGAUUGUGCAAGGCUGGGAAGCUUGAUGAAGCCAAAAAAAAGUUUGCGGAGAUGAUGGGGAAAAAGUUGCAUCCUGAUUCAAUGAUAUAUGAUACAUUCAUACAUAGUUUCUGCAAAGAAGGAAAGAUAACAUCGGCAUUUCGAGUUUUGAAAGACAUGGAAAAGAAAGGUUGCAGCAAGAGCCUGCAAACUUACAACUCGUUGAUCCUUGGUCUAGGGGGUAAAAAUCAAAUAUUUGAAAUAUACGGGCUGCUAGAUGAUAUGAAAGAAAAAGGAGUUUCUCCUGAUGUUUGUACUUAUAAUAAUAUGAUUAGUUGUCUCUGUGAAGUGGGAAGAAUCAAAGAUGCCACUUCUCUUUUAGAUGAAAUGCUGCAAACGGGUAUAUCUCCUAACAUUCCUUCUUUUAAAAUACUAAUCAAAGCUUUUUGCAAGGCAUGUGAGUUUGAGGAUGUACAGGAGGUAUUUGAGAUAGCGUUGAGCAUAUGCGGCCAUAAGGAAGCCUUGUAUAGUGUGAUGUUCAAUGAAUUUUUUCUUGGAGGGGAAGUAUUAAAAGCUAAAGAAAUUUUUGAAGCUGCAUUGGAUAGAAAUCUAUAUGUGGGGAAUUUCCUUUAUAAAGAUCUUAUUGAUAAACUUUGCAAAGAUGAAAAGUUAGAGGAAGCAAGUGGCUUAAUUUACUACAUGAUUCAAAAGGGAUAUGGGUUUGAUCCUGCAUCAUUCAUGCCUGUGAUUGAUGGGUUGGGUAAGAAAGGAAACAAACACGAGGCUGAUCUGCUUGCUGAGAGAAUGAUGGAAAUGGCCUCAGAAGGUAGUGUAAAAGAUAAAAUUUACAGACGAGGAAGGAUUGCUAAAAAGUCACGCAAGAGUGGUGGAAGUGAUUGGCAGGCCAUAGUGCACAGAAAUGAUGGCAGUGGUGUUGCACUGAAAACUCUUAAAAGGGUAGAGAAAGGCUGGGGUCGUGAAAGUAUAUUAAGUUCGCAGCCACAACAAAAUGAGUUUCAUGGUUACUAGGACGCUAACAAUUGAACCUUUCAACUCCCUGCAAUAGCUUGUUGGAACAGCCAGAGGACUUACUAAUUGUUGAUCAGCUCUAAAUCUAGAGGGUUUCCCCUACAAUUUAUUGAAUGCAGAAAGGGAGGUUUUGGUUAUUCUAUGCAACAUUAUCAGGGUUAUGGAGCCUGAAUUGCUAGAAAUUCCUCUCUUGUACUCUGUUCCUCACUAGCAUUGCUCUUGUGCUUUGUGUUGGUCUAGUUCGUUUUAAUGUGGAGACAUGGCCAGAGAAGAAAACUUCUUGAGAUUCAUUAUGCAAUUUUGUUGGAACAAAACAAAGUCCUGUCUAUUUGUGGAAGUCUGAUGUAAAAAUCAUUGCAGCUUUGGGUAGGCCCUGGAAGUAGGGCAGCAGAAGAGAAACAGUUCUUUGACAGCCAUCUUGCUCCCUUCUACCGAAUUGAACAGGUUUCAAUAUUGCUUUUUAUAAAGUCUUACUUUUUUAUGGCUUCCAUGGUUUUAUUUAUUUAUUGCCCUUCUUUAUUUUUCAUGGGAAAACAUUGUCAUCAUCCAUGUGUGUUUGCUCUUUAAAAAAAAAAAAUCCAGAUGCCUCAUAAUGGAUUUUGAUGAUUUGUAAUGAUCUAUAUAUUUUUUUUUACAUCACUUUUCUGAUAUUAUCCCACUAUAUUUAUUUCAUUUGUUGUGAUUUUAGUUCAUAAUAGCAACCAUUCCUGCUCCGCAUCUGGGAAAGCAACCAAGUAAUAUUACCGAGGAUAAUAUUCAGAUACUCUUUGAAAUACAGAAGGUAGUAUUAACAUCGUCUCUUAGAUAAAGCACCAAUUUGUAUCAAAUUCGUGCCCGCUCCACACACAUAUAUAUGAUUUGAAUUACCAAUACCAUAUAGUUAAGUAGCUAGACAGACUUGUAGUUGGUACUGCUAACAUGGCUGCUGCUGCUGCUGCUUUCAAAAGGACUUGGUUCAAUUUUCUGAUUAGACGAAGCUUGUUGAAGGCACAAUCUCAUUUUCCAGUUUUGAGAUUGACUGUGAAUUUCAAAGCACUCUUGGAGAUCAGCAUUGCAGGUCAACAAAAUCCAGUCUCUGUCAUCAUCCAAGUACUUGAUAUCAAUCAUAGUAAUGUCAUCAAGACUAAAUCUCCUCAUAAUCUCGAGCUGCAGCUCUUUGUAAGAACAGCAGCAGAGGCAAAGUUUGAUGCAAAAUCUGAUUCUCGGUUCGGCUGGAGGCAAGUAAUUCUCCAUGACCACUACAAGAUCUGUUGAGAACCAGAGAAGAGUCCUCUGUUAUCAAAGAGUCUCCAUUAAACCCAUCAAAAGUGGUGGUGGAGUGUAGCUGAAGUGCAGAUACUUCACUGGACAUGGAUGAUAGAGGUUUCAUGGCUAACCCAUGAUUAUAUUUAUAUAUGCCACUCUCGAGUUGAGAGUUUGAUUGGCUAUUUAAUUGCUGAUGGUUUCGGUGUUCACAUGGAUUGAUUGAUGAAGAAGAAUCAUCAUUGUUUUCUGGAAUCAUUGGAGAGUUAAGCUGUGGGAUGCUUGAGUAAAAGGAUCCAAUUUGAAUAGCUCUGUCAGCACCUUCAACAGAAUUGAUCAUGAGUUGAAGUUUCAUCAAUGAGUGGCCAACCUUUUUGAUCUUUCGAGAUGGCCAUCUAGUUAUUCCAUGUUGCCUGCAUAUCCUUUUCAGAGUGGUGGGGCAAACUACAGUUGAAAAAGUUCAAUAAUUAGUAUAUUUUAUUGCUUAAAUCUAAAUAAAUGAAUGUAAACUCAACCAAUAUAAAUAUAUUUAUAUAAUGGUUAGUUUUUAUAAGGGUUUAAUUUAGAAUCUUGAACAGAUAUCA